AUACGGAGGGAGCAAGCGUUAUUCGGAAUCACUGGGCGUAAAGGACGCGUAGGCGGGUUUGUAAGUCAGGUGUGAAAUCCUACAGCUCAACUGUAGAACUGCACUUGAAACUACAGACCUAGAGUAUGGAAGGGGCAGAUGGAAUUAGUGGUGUAGGGGUAAAAUCCGUAGAUAUCACUAGGAAUACCGAAAGCGAAGGCGAUCUGCUGGGACAUUACUGACGCUGAGGUGUGAAAGCGUGGGGAGCAAACAGGAUUAGAAACCCUAGUAGUCC
rnacentral:rRNA from 1 species